rnacentral:lncRNA from 1 species
AGGAAAUCUUGCUCUAGUGCCUGAAAACCAUUAGGCAGUUUAGCAAAGCCUUGGCUCCCGUCGUUGAGGACAUUGAUAAACUAGUGAAAUUCCGACAAAUGUCUUUGCGUCUUCACUCUGGGCCUUCCUAGUACCAGCCACCUGGGACCUAGACUUGUUCCUCGGUUUCAGCUCAAGCUGGUACAGAGGGGAGUCCAGCCAGGAGCAGUGGGAGGCUCCCCAGGAGCUGACUGACCGUAGAGAAUUCCCAGUACAGGGAGUGCUACGGAUCUCUCCUUGUGACUUGUGUGCGACAGGUCAUGGGUAUGGGUGCGAUGUGUACUGUGUGUGUGUGUGUGUGUGUGUGUGUGUGUUUACGUGUAUUUUCGGAGCGCUGGCUGUUAACGCCCUCACCGCCCCCACCGCACCCCUCUGGCUCCAAUCCAAUUCCAAAUCCCUGGUUACAGAUCUUAAGGACCAGACGGAUAGAGGGGAGAGAGGCUUCUCAGGCCCACCGAUGGACGGAAAGGGAUGGAGUGAUUUGGAAAUCCCUCUGCUCCCAAUCAGUCAGCCAGGCCUGAGGCCAGACGCUCCAGUGCAUUGCUGCGGAUGGUUACUCAUCGAGGGCUCAGGUCAUAGAAUCGUUUGGUCCACUAGACACUUAUCCAGCCUCACCAGGACACGCCAAGCCCUGCACAUUCCUGGGGACACAACGGUUGAAGGCACGGAGUGGCUCCUGGCCUUGAAGAACUCAUGUCAGGUGGGAACACAGCUACCUCAACUGAAACCCAGCAGCGACCUCAGGGAAGCCGAGGGCCUAAAGCACAACUGCCCCCCCCCCCAACCCCCAAGGUCAGAUUCCACAGCGACUAAGGCAGCACUGUCCUAAGGGCAGGCUCCCAGGCGCCUCCCAGCAGAGCCUCCCUUCAGAGGGACCAGCCCUUAGGCACAGCUAAGUGUUCCCAAGGGAGCAUGUGAGGAAAUGGUCACAAGCCUCUUUUUGGCAGCCUAUGUGGGUAAAAUCUGAGCAAUGCCGUGGUCAGCCUCCUAGCAGCGACACCUUUCUGAUCUAAUAUUUCCCUCCUCCAGAAGGAUACUACAAGGCCCUAUAGUAAAGAAAGACCUUCUGCUUCCCUGUAUUCUAGAUGUGUUAGACCUGGUCUGAGUUUCAAAAAUGCCAUUUUUUUUUUCUAAUUGCAAUUACAUGUUGCCCCCUCGUGUUCAUCUAUAUGGUUGCACCCUGUAGUAAUAGGGUGAGGAUGAAGCAGCGGGAGGCCUGGGCCCUUGACUUCCCAGAAGGGGAAAAACUAAACGUAGGCAACAGGCCUGGCAAAAGCACACAAAUAAGAGCCACUUAAGUUGCAAACUAUGAGUCAUGGCUCUAUUUUUUUCUGUAACAAUAUACAAUCUUCGAGUUUGGGUCCGGAUAGUAAUAGGCAAUGUUUAGCGCACACUUGCCAUGUGCCAGGCACAAUGCAUGGCAUUUGUUAACUCAAUGCUCGCAGCAAUCCUGAGAACGAUUAGCUGCUCUGCGCUUGUGGUGUACCUCACAGCUCAAGGAAGCAGACAGACGUGAAAUGUCACAUCAAAACGAAGCAAACGAAGCUAAGGGGCCCAUGGUCUGCAGAGGGUAAUGGAAUGAGGAGCCACAUGCAGAUCUUUUUCUUCUUAACAGCUUUACUGUGAUAUAAUUCACUUGUCCUACAGUUCGCCCACUUAGAGGGCACAACUCAAUGGCUUCUAGUAUGUCCACAGAGCUAUGUGACACCACAGUCAACUCUAGAUCAUCUUCAUCAUCCCUGAAAAAAACCCACAUGUCCUUUAGCAGUCAUUCCUCAUUUCCCCACACCCCACUGAUUCUAGACAACCACUCACCUACUUUUUGUCCC